UGACCGCUGGCGGCGUGCCUAAUACAUGCAAAUCGAGCGAACAGACGAGGAGCUUGCUCCUCUGACGUUAGCGGCGGACGGGUGAGUAACACGUGGAUAACCUACCUAUAAGACUGGGAUAACUUCGGGAAACCGGAGCUAAUACCGGAUAAUAUAUUGAACCGCAUGGUUCAAUAGUGAAAGACGGUUUUGCUGUCACUUAUAGAUGGAUCCGCGCCGCAUUAGCUAGUUGGUAAGGUAACGGCUUACCAAGGCGACGAUGCGUAGCCGACCUGAGAGGGUGAUCGGCCACACUGGAACUGAGACACGGUCCAGACUCCUACGGGAGGCAGCAGUAGGGAAUCUUCCGCAAUGGGCGAAAGCCUGACGGAGCAACGCCGCGUGAGUGAUGAAGGUCUUCGGAUCGUAAAACUCUGUUAUUAGGGAAGAACAAAUGUGUAAGUAACUAUGCACGUCUUGACGGUACCUAAUCAGAAAGCCACGGCUAACUACGUG
rnacentral:rRNA from 1 species